GGGCGCUUAGCUCAGUCUGGUUAGAGCGUUGCGUUGACAUCGCAAAGGUCACAGGUUCAAGUCCUGUAGCGCCCACCA
rnacentral:tRNA from 1 species